CCCUUAGAUGUUCUGGGCCGCACGCGCGCUACACUGAUUCAUGCAACAAGUUUUGUCCUUGGCUGAUAGGCCUGGGUAAUCUUUGAACGUGAAUCGUGAUGGGGAUAGAUGAUCGCAAUUAUUCAUCUUCAACGAGGAAUUCCUAGUAAACGCAAGUCAUCAGCUUGCAUUGAUUACGUCCCUGCCCUUUGUACACACCGCCCGUCGCACCUACCGAUUGAAUGGUCCGGUGAAAUCUUCGGAUCUGAGAGAUGUCUGAUUAAUUUCGGACGCCUUUUGGAAAAGUUGUUUAAACCUUACCAUUUAGAGGAAGGUGAAGUCGUAACA
rnacentral:rRNA from 1 species